UUACGUAAGAAUAGUCUAACAAGGUUCUCGGUGGUGAACCAGUGGAGGGAUCGCUCCCGAGUUUUAGACUGCCAAACCCAUGGAGAASGGUACCAAACUGGUGGCCUSGGGCGGGGAUUCUCUGCCCCCGGGGUGGCGUCGCAGCCCCCGGACCAUGGGCGSCCCGCCSGGAGGGACCCACCCAAAACUCUUAUGGUAUACCCCCCUCGCGGGUUUGUGUUAUAAUCUGAGCCUUCUCGGCCGCCUCUCGUAGGCGUUUCGAAAAUGAAUCAAAACUUUCAACAACGGAUCUCUUGGUUCUGGCAUCGAUGAAGAACGCAGCGAAAUGCGAUAAGUAAUGUGAAUUGCAGAAUUCAGUGAAUCAUCGAAUCUUUGAACGCACAUUGCGCCCSCCAGUAUUCUGGCGGGCAUGCCUGUCCGAGCGUCAUUUCAACCCUCGAGCCCCUCCGGGGGGUCGGCGUUGGGGAUCGGCCCUGCCUUGGCGGUGGCCGUCCCCGAAAUACAGUGGCGGUCCCGCCGCUGCCCCUCCUGCGCAGUAGUUUGCACACCCGCAUCGGGAGCGCGGCGCGUCCACAGCCGUUAAACACCCAACUUCUGAAAUGUUGACCUCGGAUCAGGUAGGACACCCGCGAAAUAGUACU
rnacentral:rRNA from 1 species